rnacentral:pre_miRNA from 1 species
AUCAUUCUAAAUUCGUGUCGAGUUUUCAUCAGACACCAGACCAUUAGUACUGAUGAGACUCCUAAGAAAAAUGAA